UUGAUCCUGGCUCAGGAUGAACGCUGGCGGCGUGUCUAAGGCAUGCAAGUCGAGCGAGAACUUUGGUCUUCGGACCAAAGGGACAGCGGCAGACGGGAGAGUAACACCUUAGUAACCUACCCCAAAGAGAGGAAUAACUCAUCGAAAGAUGGGCUAAUACCUCAUGUGCUAUUGUAUCUAAUGUUAUAAUAGUAAAGUUCCGGCGCUUUGGGAGGGGCUUAGGUCCUAUCAGCUAGUUGGUGAGAUAACAGCUCACCAAGGCAACGACGGGUAGCGGGUGUGAGAGCAUGAUCCGUCCCACUGGAACUGAGAUACGGUCCAGACUCCUACGGGAGGCUGCAGUCAAGAAUCUUCCCCAAUGCGCGAAAGCGUGAGGGAGCGACGCCGCGUGUAGGAUGAAGCCCUUCGGGGUGUAAACUACUUUUAUCAAGGACGAACUAAUGACGGUACUUGAUGAAUAAGGGGCUGCCAACUUCGUGCCAGCAGCAGCGGUAAUACGAAGGCCCCAAGCGUUAUCCGGAAUUACUGGGCGUAAAGCGUCUGUAGGCGGUUAGGUAAGUUAACGGUUAAAUCCUGGAGCUCAACUCCAGAACAGCCGCUAAUACUAUUUGACUAGAGGAUGGGAGAGGUCAACGGAAUUGCCGGUGUAGUAGUAAAAUGCAUUGAUAUCGGCAGGAACACCAAAAGCGAAGGCAGUUGACUGGAACAUUCCUGACGCUGAGAGACGAAAGCGUGGGUAGCGAAAGGGAUUAGAUACCCCUGUAGUCCACGCCGUAAACGAUGGAUGCUAGGUGCUGGAAGUUUCGACCCUUUCAGUGCCGGGUAGUCAAGCUAACGCCUUAAGCAUCCCGCCUGGGAAGUACGGCCGCCAGGCUAAAACUCAAAGGAAUUGACGUGGGACCCGUACAAGCGGUGGAGCAUGUGGUUUAAUUCGACGAUAAGCGG
rnacentral:rRNA from 1 species